rnacentral:lncRNA from 1 species
CUCUACUACCACCACUAAAAGAAGCCAAGUCAUCUGACUGCUAGUGACCUAAUUUUUGCAUAGCUGUUUGUAAUUCUCAUCAUCAUGUUAUGGCGAUAUAAUUUAUUAAUCCUUCUGGCAUUUUUCUCCUUGACAGCUUCUCAGUUGCUGUUACAUUCUACUUGGAUGGAGCUACUAUAUUGAAGAUGAGGAUUUCAUUUCAUAAUUGCCACAAACUGUAAGUGUGAAUUAAUAGUAUCCUCUAUAAAGUAACAUUAAAAUCUCCUGACUUGUU